UUAAUUUGUGAAUAAUUUUAUUAAUCAAUCUGUUUGAAAAAAUUACAAGUGCACUUAGACAAAAAUACUACAUUUAGGGCACUAGAUUCAACAAUGUCGACCUCUGACUGUCUACAUCUGUGUUUGCAUAAUCCGCAUAUAACUCGAGUAUUGGUGAUUCAUUAGCUAUAUGCAUCUACAUCAUCACCUCCAUCCCCCUUGCACCUCUGAUAUCGAAAGCUUCAUAUUUGACGGGGUCGACCAAAGCAUAAAACCUAUAUUUCAGUGGCGAUACUCUCAUCUGGUUGGAUCUGACGAUUUUUAGCCUAAUUCUUCCACGCGACUCAGGCAAUUGUAUGUUCGAGUUGAAAGCCAACUAUGAUAUAUUCUCCAAUGA
rnacentral:lncRNA from 1 species